rnacentral:tRNA from 1 species
GUUCCUAUAGUUGAAAGAAGUCAACGGUGGCUUUUCAAGUCGCAGGUCUUGGAUCGACCCCAAGUAGGAAUG